UGAUGGGUUUUGUUGUGUCUCGCUCCUGCCCCACCUACUUCGUAAGUGGGUAAUUGGCAGCUGUGCUCCAUAAAAAGGAAGCGCGGCUAUCCAGGGCAGACGUCUGCUUUGUCCAGGGACUACUCUGACCGACCUAUCGCCUAUCCCCGACGUUUGGCUGUAGUUUGUUCCACCAUUUGCUCCAGUAACAGAAGUCGCUGCUAAACUACUGGCUGGAUAUUCUCACGGCUGCUCUUUCCCCCGGUGUGCUCAUCAAUUCCAGCUUAGCAACAUCACAGAGUGUUGCGCUGUCCGGGCUCCCUACAUCUGACGUUAGCUGUUGCAUGGAUCUGUAUGGUAUCCUGAUGUGGUGACGGCCUUGCUGUUUUGUUCCUGUUUUGGGGUUUGCUGUGUGGAGCGCCUUCCGCUUCUCUCUGUGGCCUACCAUCGCUGCAUCUCUGAUGCAUGAUUGCUAGCUAACCUUGUGGUGGCUAUCUGCUUGGGCCUGUUUAGUGCGGACGUGCGUGUUUGUUGCAUGAGUGUGCAUGUGUGGGAGUUUGGUUUGCUUGCUGCUCUAUUGAUGCUCUGUGCUUUGCUCUGUAUUUUGUUUUGUCUUAUUUGUACUCAUUUGUUUUUGUUUUUUCUACUGCAUGUACUGUCAAGUGGGCUUUCCCUGUGUAUGUUGCUUGUCUCUCCUGCUGGGGGCUACAUUGGGCGCAUGUUGGAGGGUUUAUUCUCCUCUGGUGGUGUUUAUCCCUUAUUGUGUGUGCUGUGUUAAUUAGUUUAGAUAAGUCACCUUUUCAUUUUGAUUUGCAGUGUGGUUUGAAUCACAGAUUUCGCCUCAGAGGCUUUGACAUCUGCCCUCUACGGUAAGCCCAAUCUAGUUUAAACAUUGAUCCUGACAAUCUAGCCUUACAUGGUGUUGCUCUGGUAUUGAAGUGCAUGUACAUUGAUCCUGUUUUAAAUAAAUUGUAGUAGUUUUGUAUUGUAAUCUCACGUCUCUGCCUAUUAUUCAGACUACCAACUUGUGUGACCCUAGUGGUAAACAGGAAAUUAUCAGGUUAAUUUAACGGGUAGGUUCCUGGGUAACAGGGUAUUAGAACCUGGUGACUGUUUAUACACAAGGUAGGCUACUGUCACACUGACACACAGAUAAAUCACACACAAACACAGCAUAAGCUCAAGUUAGAAUUUACAUAUAUGGUUAUUGUAUUUUGCUGACGCUUUUGUCCAUUCUGCCAACAAGGAACCACCCUGCAACAAUGUCAUUAUUAUAUCAACAAGAGUUGAUACUGUUCUGGUAUAGAUUGCUGUGCAGAAAACCAAUGUGAUUAACUAAGAUAUCACCUAGUAGCAGAAUUUACAGAGCCUGCAAAGGACCAUGGUAUUUUUUAGAGGACAUUUAUUUUAAGAGCUCUUUUUGCGUUCUCUCGCAACAGUUCUGUACGGAGCCCCUUGGGGA